UGGUGAGGUGUCCGAGUGGCUGAAGGAGCACGCCUGGAAAGUGUGUAAACGUUUAUAGCGUUUCGAGGGUUCGAAUCCCUCUCUCGCCAA
rnacentral:tRNA from 1 species